CUGUUUUAUCUGCUCUAUUUAGUCCUCACUACUUGAUGUUCUUAGAACUCCCAUUUCACAGAUUCUUAAGCUUGCAGAGGUUCGCUCAUUUUUCUCACAUAGCCAGUGAGUGGCAGAGGAGGACUCAAAUUGAGUUUAACUCCAAAGUGGAGUUCUUUUUCAUCAGACGCUUCCCUUGUCUGGGCUAUCAGCUGGAACUGUUCCUCAGCCAAACCCUAGCCCCAGAACAGCUGCUUCCUGAAUUUCUCCCGUUGAGAAUUCUCCUUUUUGAGUUCCUUUUUCCAGUACAGCGUGCUCUGCUCUGCUUCCACCUUGAUUACUUCAGAAAUGAAAUGCAGCAAACAUUUAUUGAGUGGUGCACGGAGAUGAACACUUGGAGUCAAGAGCCUUGGGUUCUUGUCCUGGCUCUGCCACUAACUGGCUGUGUGGCCUUGGCCAAGUCCCUUGUCUUCUCGGUGCUUUCACUUCCUUUGAAUAAAAUGGGUAAGUGCCUUCUUACUGGCAGGCUCUUGUCCAGGUCUCCCUUCCUGUCCUCCAGCAGGCUCUCCCUGGAGGCCCAGACCCCUCUGCUCCCCAUGGGCAGCUGCCAGGCAGGGCACAACCUGCAUCUCUGCCUGGCCCACCACCCACCUCUGGUCUGUGCCACUUUGAUCUUGCUGCUUCUUGGCCUUUCUGGCCUGGGCCUUGGUGGCUUCCUCCUCACCCACAAGACUGGCCUACGCAGCCCUGACAUCCCUCAGGACUGGGUCUCCUUCUUGAGAUCUUUUGGCCAGCUGACCCUGUGCCCCGUGAAUGGGACAGUCAAAGGGAAGUGGCGUGGGUCUCACGUCGUGGGCUUACUGACCACCUUGAACUUCGGAGAUGAUCGAGACAGGAACAAGACCCAGACAUUCCAAACCCAGGUCCAGGGUAGUCGUAUGGGAUUGAAAGGAUCUUCUGCAGGAGAGCUGGUCCUCAUUACAGCCAGGGUGACCACGGAAAGGACCCCAGGAACCUGCCUGUAUUUUAGUGCUGCUCCAGGAAUCCUGCCCUCCAGCCAGCCACCCAUGUCCUGCUCGGAAGAGGGAGCAGGAAACGCCACCCUGAACCCUAGGAUGGCUGAGGAGUGUGUCAGUGUCUGGAGCCACGAAGGUCUUGUGCUCACCAAGUUGCUCACCUCCGAGGAGCUGGCUCUGUGUGGCUCUAGGCUGCUGGUUUUGGGCUCCUUCCUGCUUCUCUUCUGUGGCCUUCUCUGCUGUCUCACUGCUGUGUGCUUCCACCCACGCCGGGAGUCCCACUGGUCUAGAACCCGGUUCUGAGGGCACUGGCCUAGUUCCCGUCUCGUUCUCAGGUGUGAAUCAACUUCUUGGGCCUUGAUUCUGAGUUGGAAGAGAUAUUACAAAAGUGGAGAGCUGGAAUGUGGGGGAAAUAAAAGGUCAUGCUGCUGUGAAGGGCCUCAGUCUCCUGAAGGGAUAUGACAGAUCGAGUUUUCUCAGCAAAGAUUCCUCGAACUUGGGAGCCCACGACCAGGCUGGAUAGUUACUAACCAGGACAGUCCGUUUUCCCGCCUUUUCUGCGCCCAGCAGCAGUCUUCCCUUACCCCUCCCAACCUCUACCCUGCACGCAGGCGCAGAUCACGGCUUCUUCUUUCCUUCCACCCGCGCCCCCUCAAAGCUUCCCCUAGCAACAAG